AGCUGCAUAACGAUGGCAAACGGCGAUGCUGUCUUCAAGUGCCGGCGUUGAUGUCUGCAAUCAAUCAGUAUAAAAUAAAUUUGGUCGUGUGUCGCAAAAUUUUAAAUUGAAAGUAAAAAGACGCACAAAAAAGCAGCAAAUGGUAUAGUGUUUUGUGGUUUGUAAUUUCAUCGUUAUUGUUUGGUGUUUCGACAAUAUUUUCGGAAUUAUUUCCUGCACCAAAAAGAAGCAAGAACAUUUGUGCAUUGUACGCGCAGAACCAUUCAUUUGAACUUUAGCGGUCUACCACUUCCAACUGCUACAACAUGUAACGACACAGCCAAUGUGCCAAUCGGUCAGGUGCGGUUGGACGUUGUGAUUGGGUUUACCCGAUUGCUUAUUGGUUCCAGUGUGCCUAUUCGUGGAAACAUUUUAAGUUUUAAUUCGAAAAUAUUAAUUGGAAGUGCUUUUGUGGCGGCAGCAAAGGGGCCAUACUUGCGCAUGGCACUUUAAAAUCUAUCUGGAGCAGAAAAGCGGCGGUGCAGAGUAGUUGUGAUGCUUAGUCGAGACUGUGCAGCGUUUGAAAUCGAGAGUGAAUGCAUGUAAAACUUCUGGAAGAAGAUGGAAUUGGUAUAACAAAUCAAACUAACAAUAUGGCAACUCUUCAUCAACGCCAAUUGCACACUACGACAUGUCAUUAUACUGUUGUGUGACUCAAUGCCCCUCAAACUGUCAACAGCUGACCGACAAUAUUCACAAUAUGCCUGUAGUCAUAGCGGCAUGAUCUCGCUACUUCAACUUUUUGAAUAAAGUGAGAAAAACAAAUCAAUGGGGCAAUAAAGGUGUAAAAAGUGUACACAUAACAAUCAAGAGCUGAUAAUUUUAAUAUUGGAGGUGUUAAUUUGCCUUUAAAAGUCAAUAAAACUCCAUGCAUCGUUACAAAGCAAGAAGUACUUCGCAUCGAUAUCCAAUUAUAUUUCAGUGCUUAAUUAUCUGCGAAGAGGAGCCACAACUGCUGUGAGAUGACUACGCUACACAGCGGAAACGUUUGGUUCAAAGUCUCGUAGGUGACGCAAAGCUGUAUGGAUGGUAGCGACUAUGUAUACAUCGCACAUCUGAGGCUUCAAAUAAAAUUUGCAAAUAAAUUUGAGAAGGAUCGCUUCAGCCUGCUUUGCACUGGGCGCAUUUAAACACCUUUACCACGGUGCUCUUCUGUUUUCCGCCUCACUUGAGUCCGCUGUGUCGAGAAACACUUUUGAUUUCAAGUACUCUGCUCGACCUGUUUCCCAUUCUCCCCCCUAAUGAGAUGCAGCAUCGACUUAAGUUGAAUGGUCAUUGAAGGGGGCCAAAGAAAAUAAUCCAACUUCCAGAAAUCGAGAAAAAGAACACAUCAAACAAAAAAUCAAUCCUUGACAGCAGAAUAACCUCCACGAGUUGGGGAAAAGAACGCUGACGUAAGUCAAAGUGAAGCACUGACAUGACGAAGCGAGCGAGCAAGCACUUGAAGUCGAUGCUUUAAAGAUGAAUUUAAAUGAAGUACAACGUUGAGGAGUUUCAAAUGCAUCGAAAGCCAUUGAACAAAAGGAUUAAGAAGACUCUCGCCAGCGAUAUUCCAGUGAGGAGUAUUUUUUAAGCUUUUGUGUCUAUGUCUAUACUGAUACGGUGUACACGGGAUGAGUUGCAUCAGUUGUUCUUAUACGAUGGUACGAUAUACGAUACAUGUCUUUACUCAUUGCUUGAGUAGAACUUUGUUACAUAAUUGUUGUAAAAUUUUAUUUCUACACCACGGCAACAAGUUAAUGCUCAAUGGCCUAAAGUUCGCCCAGGCCUCCUUUCAACAUCGUGGGUUACCUGAGUAAAGUUCCAUAAACUACAUUGUUCUGAGGGAAGAAACAAUGUGAAAUAUAGAAUGGCCCAACUAUUGGAAAUCACUCUCCAUGCUUAACAUAUUAAAAUAUUUCAAUUCCUUUACGCGGUAGCCAAAUAAUAUUAGCUUUAGAAUAUUC
rnacentral:sRNA from 1 species